rnacentral:rRNA from 1 species
UACGUAGGUGGCAAGCGUUGUCCGGAAUUAUUGGGCGUAAAGCGCACGUAGGCGGCUUAGCAAGUCGGAAGUGAAAUCCCACGGCUCAACCAUGGAAGUGCUUUCGAAACUGCUGAGCUUGAGUACGAAAGAGGAUCGCGGAAUUCCCGGUGUAGAGGUGAAAUUCGUAGAUAUCGGGAGGAACACCAGUGGCGAAGGCGGCGAUCUGGGUCGAUACUGACGCUGAGGUGCGAAAGCGUGGGGAGCGAACAGG